rnacentral:tRNA from 1 species
GGGGCGUAGCAAAGGCAUUGUUCGGUUCAGUGGCCGGCCUUCGGACGUCGGCGGCGGCCGAAGAGCGUUGAGGAAGCGAACCUUGCCGUUGAGGCGAGCAGCGGACUCAUAAUCCGUCGGCCGUGGGUUCGAGUCCCACCCGCCCCA